CCCAGUAAACGGCGGCCGUAACUAUAACGGUCCUAAGGUAGCGAAAUUCCUUGUCGGGUAAGUUCCGACCCGCACGAAAGGUGUAACGAUUUGGGCACUGUCUCAACCAGAGACUCGGUGAAAUUAUAGUACCUGUGAAGAUGCAGGUUACCCGCGACAGGACGGAAAGACCCCGUGGAGCUUUACUGUAGCCUGAUAUUGAAUUUUGGUACAGUUUGUACAGGAUAGGCGGGAGCCAUUGAAACCGGAGCGCUAGCUUCGGUGGA
rnacentral:rRNA from 1 species